UACGGGAGGCAGCAGUGGGGAAUUUUGGACAAUGGGGGCAAGCGUGUUCCAGCCAUGCCGCGUGAGUGAAGAAGGCCUUCGGGUUGUAAAGCUCUUUCGUCUGGGAAGAAAUCGCACAGGCUAAUACCCUGUGUGGAUGACGGUACCAGCACAAGAAGCACCGGCUAACUACGUGCCAGCAGCCGCGGUAAUACGUAGGGUGCGAGCGUUGUUCGGAAUUAUUGGGCGUAAAGAGUGCGCAGGCGGUUAUGUAAGUCAGAUGUGAAAUCCCCGGGCUCAACCUGGGAAAUGCAUUUGAGACUGCCUAACUAGAGUAUGGCAGAGGGGGGUGGAAUUCCACGUGUAGCAGUGAAAUGCGUAGAGAUCUGGAGGAACACCGAUGGCGAAGGCAGCCCCCUGGGUCGAUACUGACGCUCAUGCACGAAAGCGUGGGGAGCAAACAGGAUUAGAUACCCUGGUAGUCCACGCCCUAAACGAUGUCAACUAGUUGUUGGUAGGGUUAAACCUUUUAGUAACGUAGCUAACGCGUGAAGUGA
rnacentral:rRNA from 1 species